UAAUGUUCACUUAGGAAAGUCUGGUGCCUUUCCACAUGGUGGAAGGAGGGUAUAAGGUGGAAGGCAUACAGUGUACUAUUAAUUCAACAAUGUAUUGGAUCGGUAUCGGGUAUCAACAGAGACAAAAAGGCCAGGCAUCGGUACCAGGACUGAAAAAGUUGGAUCGGUGCAUCCCUAGAGAGGUGAUUAGCAAUGAAGGGUA